GAUUGAGGGGGGCUGCUCCUAGUACGAGAGGACCGGAGUGGACGCAUCACUGGUGUUCGGGUUGUCAUGCCAAUGGCACUGCCCGGUAGCUAAAUGCGGAAAAGAUAAGUGCUGAAAGCAUCUAAGCACGAAACUUGCCCCGAGAUGAGUCUUCCCUGAGACUUUGAGUCUCCUGAAGGAACGUUAAAGACGAUGACGUUGAUAGGCCGGGUGUGUAAGCGCAGCGAUGCGUUGAGCUAACCGGUACUAAUGAACCGUGAGGCUUAACCUUACAACGCCGAAG
rnacentral:rRNA from 4 species